rnacentral:rRNA from 1 species
CCGUGUCAUACAUACCUUUGUUGCUUUGGCAGGCCGCCUUCGGGCGUCGGCUCCGGCUGAUAGUGCCUGCCAGAGGACCCAAACUCUAUGUUUAGUGAUGUCUGAGUACUAUAUAAUAUUUAAAACUUUCAACAUACGGAUCUCUUGGUUCUGGCAUCGAUGAAGAACGCAGCGAAAUGCGAUAAGUAAUGUGAAUUGCAGAAUUCAGUGAAUCAUCGAAUCUUUGAACGCACAUUGCGCCCCUUGGUAUUCCGAGGGGCAUGCCUGUUCGAGCGUCAUUUUAACCACUCAAGCCUGGCUUGGUAUUGGGGUUUUCGCGUGCUCGCGGCCCUUAAAAUCAGUGGCGGUGCCGUCUGGCUCUAAGCGUAGUAAUUUCUCUCGCUAUAGGGUUCCGGUGGUUACGUGCCAAAACC